GACGAACGCUGGCGGCGUGCUUAACACAUGCAAGUCGAACGGAAAGGCCCCCACUUUUUUGGUGGGGGUGCUCGAGUGGCGAACGGGUGAGUAACACGUGGGUGAUCUGCCCUGUACUUCGGGAUAAGCUUGGGAAACUGGGUCUAAUACCGGAUAGGACCAUGGUUUAGUGUCUCAUGGUGGAAAAAUUAUUGUUUUGGUGCAGGAUGAGCUCGCGGCCUAUCAGCUUGUUGGUGGGGUAAUGGCCUACCAAGGCGUCGACGGGUAGCCGGCCUGAGAGGGUGGACGGCCACAUUGGGACUGAGAUACGGCCCAGACUCCUACGGGAGGCAGCAGUGGGGAAGAUUGCACAAUGGGCGCAAGCCUGAUGCAGCGACGCCGCGUGGGGGAUGACGGCCUUCGGGUUGUAAACUCCUUUCGCUAGGGACGAAGCCGCACCUUUUUUGGGUGUGGUGACGGUACCUUUGUUAAGAAGCACCGGCUAACUACGUG
rnacentral:rRNA from 1 species